CUACGGGAGGCAGCAGUGGGGAAUAUUGCGCAAUGGGCGAAAGCCUGACGCAGCAACGCCGCGUGGGGGAUGAAGGUUCUCGGAUUGUAAACCCCUUUCGAUCGGAACGAAUCCCCUCCUGGUAAAUAAUCAGGAGGAUCGACGGUACCGAGAGAAGAAGCCACGGCUAACUCUGUGCCAGCAGCCGCGGUAAGACAGAGGUGGCGAGCGUUGUUCGGAUUUAUUGGGCGUAAAGCGAACGCAGGUGGUUUGGUAAGUCAGGGGUGAAAGACCACAGCUUAACUGUGGCAUUGCCUUUGAUACUGCCUUUCUUGAGUAGAGUAGGGGGAAGCGGAAUUCCGAGUGUAGAGGUGAAAUUCGUAGAUAUUCGGAGGAACACCGGUGGCGAAGGCGGCUUCCUGGACUCUAACUGACACUCAUGUUCGAAAGCGUGGGGAGCAAACAGGAUUAGAUACCCCGGU
rnacentral:rRNA from 1 species